UACGUAGGGUGCGAGCGUUAAUCGGAAUUACUGGGCGUAAAGCGUGCGCAGGCGGUUAUGCAAGACAGGUGUGAAAUCCCCGGGCUCAACCUGGGAACUGCACUUGUGACUGCAUGACUAGAGUGCGUCAGAGGGAGGUGGAAUUCCGCGUGUAGCAGUGAAAUGCGUAGAGAUGCGGAGGAACACCGAUGGCGAAGGCAGCCUCCUGGGAUGACACUGACGCUCAUGCACGAAAGCGUGGGGAGCAAAC
rnacentral:rRNA from 1 species